AAUUCUAGAGCUAAUACAUGCAACAGGCCCUGACGUUAUGGAGGGGCGCUUUUAUUAGAUCAAAAUCAAUCAGGUCUCGUGCCUGUAAAUUGUGAUGACUCUGGAUAACUUUGUGCCGACCGCWUGGCCUUGCGCCGGCGGCGUAUCUUUCAAAUGUCUGCCCUAUCAACUUUCGAUGGUACGUGAUAUGCCUACCAUGGUUGUAACGGGUAACGGAGAAUCAGGGUUCGAUUCCGGAGAGGGAGCCUGAGAAACGGCUACCACAUCCAAGGAAGGCAGCAGGCGCGCAAAUUACCCACUCCCGGCACGGGGAGGUAGUGACGAAAAAUAACAAUG
rnacentral:rRNA from 1 species